GUGUACCGGAAGGUGCACCUGGAAAGUCAGGAUAGAGCUUGAUUAGUUAAGCAUUUCAUUUACACUGAAAAUACACUGUGCAAUUCAGUUUAUUCUGAUAAAUUUUAACUUACUUUAGUUGUUAGUUGUUAAAAGUUUUUUUAAUUAAAUUAUUUUUAAUAGGUUAUGUUUGUGUAUAGAAUAUAGAUAAAAUUAUUUAAGUGGUAGGUUAAUUGUAUCGUGAGAGGUUGAUUGAAAUAGUUUGAAAAUAUAUUUUUAUAAAAGUAGAUUAAUGAUUGUACCUUGUGUAUCAGGGUUUAUUAAAAAAAUUGCAAAUAUUUGUAUUUUCCCGAUUUGAAGAGAGCUAAAUAAAUGUGUUAGUUAAUGUGGAAUAAUUAUUAAUAACAUUUAUUUAGUAAUGAAACGUUAUCCGUUCUUUAAGAUAUCUGGUUUUCCGAGAAAUGAAUUUAAUUCAGGUUUAAAAAAGUGUAAUUUAAUUUAUUAAAUAAAUCAUUUUUUUAAGCUAAUGCCCUGGGGGAUAAGCUUUAGGGUAGGUUUUAUAAUUAGUGAAAUUUUAAAAGAUUUAGUAGGCUUAGAAUUAGCCAUCUAUUAAAGGAUGUUAUAAUUUAAUUUUUUGUAAGUUUAAUUUUCUAAGAAUUUAAGUUUUAUAUCGGAGCAAUGUAACUAAUUUUUAGUUACUUGAGAUAAUGAUAAAAUUAGUAUAAAAAUUGUUUAAAUUAUUAAAAAAAAUGUGAGGUUACAUUAAGGAAUUAGGCAAAUUAGUACUCGCCUGUUUAACAAAAACAUGUCUUCUUGAUUAUAAUUUGAAGUCUGACCUGCCCACUGAAUUUUAUAUUUGAAGGGCCGCGGUAUUUUGACCGUGCAAAGGUAGCAUAAUCAUUAGUCUUUUAAUUGAAGGCUAGAAUGAAUGGUUGGACGAGGUACUGACUGUCUCGGUGUGAUUGAUAUUAGAAUUUAACUUUUAAGUUAAAAGGCUUAAAUAUAUUUAA
rnacentral:rRNA from 1 species